UAGGGAGGAAAGAAACUAACAAGGAUUCCCCUAGUAACUGCGAGUGAAGCGGGAAAAGCUCAAAUUUAAAAUCUGGGGGUCCCUGUGGCCCUCCGAGUUGUAAUCUAGAGAAGUGCUAUCCGCGCUGGACCGUGUACAAGUCUCCUGGAACGGAGCGUCAUAGAGGGUGAGAAUCCCGUCUUUGACACGGACUACCAGGGCUUAUGUGAUGUGCUCUCAAAGAGUCGAGUUGUUUGGGAAUGCAGCUCUAAAUGGGUGGUAAAUUCCAUCUAAAGCUAAAUAUUGGCGAGAGACCGAUAGCGAACAAGUACCGUGAGGGAAAGAUGAAAAGAACUUUGGAAAGAGAGUUAAACAGUACGUGAAAUUGUUGAAAGGGAAACGCUUGAAGUCAGUCGCGUUGCCCAGAAAUCAACCUUGCUUUUGCUUGGUGUACUUUCUGGUUAACGGGUCAGCAUCAAUUUUGACCGGUGGAUAAAGGUCAGGGGAAUGUGGCAUCUUUGGAUGUGUUAUAGCCCUUGGUUGCAUACAUCGAUUGGGAUUGAGGAACUCAGCAUGCCGCAAGGCCGGGUUUUUAACCACGUACAUGCUUAGGAUGCUGGCAUAAUGGCUUUAAUCGACCCGUCUUGAAACACGGACCAAGGAGUCUAACAUGCACGCGAGUGUUUGGGUGGAAAACCCGAGCGCGUAAUGAAAGUGAAAAUUGAGAUCCCUGUCGUGGGGAGCAUCAAUGCCCGGACCAGACCUUUUGUGACGGAUCCGCGGUUGAGCGUGUAUGCUGGGACCCGAAAGAUGGUGAACUAUGCCUGAAUAGGGUGAAGCCAGAGGAAACUCUGGUGGAGGCUCGUAGCGAUUCUGACGUGCAAAUCGAUCGUCAAAUUUGGGUAUAGGGGCGAAAGACUAAUCGAACCUCUAGUA
rnacentral:rRNA from 1 species